GGAGCCAUCGUGUAAUGGUCAGCACCCGGCAUUGUGAAUGCCGCAGUGUGGGUUCGAAUCCCACUGGUUCCCCCA
rnacentral:tRNA from 1 species